rnacentral:misc_RNA from 1 species
GAUGAAGAACGUAGCGAAACGCGAUAAGUAGUGUGAAUUGCAGAAUUCAGUGAAUCAUCGAAUCUUUGAACGCACAUUGCGCCCCUUGGUAUUCCAUGGGGCAUGCCUGUUCGAGCGUCAUUUGUACCUUCAAGCUUUGCUUGGUGUUGGGUGUUUGUCCCUCGGGACUCGCCUUAAAGUCAUUGGCAGCCAGUGUUUUGGUUUUGAAGCGCAGCACAAGUCGCGAUUCAAGGCUAUCCGCCCGCUUCCACAAGCCUUUUUCACUUUUGACCUCGGAUCAGGUAGGGAUACCCGCUGAACUUAAGCAUAUCAAUAAGCGGAGGA